rnacentral:rRNA from 1 species
CAAUAGCGUAUAUUAAAGUUGUUGCAGUUAAAAAGCUCGUAGUUGGAUUUCUGUGAGAGUGCCGGUGUCGGCUGAUGCUUGUACGCAGGCGCUCUUACAUCCUUCUGUUAACUGUUCUUGGCAUUUUAUUGCUGGUUCAGGGCUCAGAUAUUUUGCCUUGAGAAAAUUAGAGUGUUUCAGGCAGGCUUAUGCCGGAAUACAUUAGCAUGGAAUAAUGGAACAGGACCUGUGCGUCUCUCGGGGCGCCGGUCUCCGUUGUUGGUUUCGGGGACUAAUGUAAUGAUUAAUAGGGAUAGUUGGGGGCAUUAGUAUUUAAUAGUCAGAGGUGAAAUUCUCGGAUUUGUUAAAGACUAACUUAUGCGAAAGCAUUUGCCAAGGAUGUUUUCAUUAA